rnacentral:rRNA from 1 species
GACGAACCGUGCGAACGUUGUUCGGAAUCACUGGGCUUAAAGGGCGCGUAGGCGGACCAUCAAGUCGGGGGGUGAAAUCUUUCAGCCCAACUGGAAAAGGGCUUCCGAUACUGGUGGUCUCGAGGGAGGUAGGGGUCGAGGGAACUGGUGGUGGAGCGGUGAAAUGCGUAGAUAUCACUAGGAACGCCGGUGGCGAAAGCGCUCGACUGGACCUCUUCUGACGCUGAGGCGCGAAAGCCAGGGGAGCAAACGGG